UCUCUUGCCAGGAGCUUCAAGUGAUACAGAGAAUCACCUGAGAUCCAGGCUCUGCUAGACUUGUCCCCAACGUCCUACUCCCCCAGUCUCCCACAGUCAGGGUGCCCCAUAUCAGCUGAGACCUAGGGUUCUGUCUGAAUUUGUUUGUUGUUUCCUAAGGUUCUAACCUGGCAUCUUGCUCAAACUCCUUGGAGGACUCAGACAACCACAGGGAGCCUGAGAAGGAGCUGUUGUCUGGUGGACUUAAUCAUCGCCCAGACAAGACACAUGAUAAGGUGAGCAGUUCAGCUGUGUGACACACUCCUGUGAUAUGUUGCAUUACCCUGGGUCCAAAGCAAAGGGACCAACCAAUCCAGGUGGAGACUUCCAAACUGCCUUGGAAGAAACUAACCUGUCGAUGUCUUGACUUUGAACCUGUGGCUUGAAUGAAAAGGAGAUGAUGAACUGAGCCACCCAGAUUGUGUACAUUGCCACAGCAACCUUAAGCACAUAUCCUUAAUUAGUCGGCUUGGUAUGCAAUGACGUUAUACAUUAAACAAACUGGAAAUCUCAGUGAUGUUUAGCAUAAAAUAUUUUCUUGCUCAUGACCUGAGGUUAGGUAGUCCAUCUAAACUCUCCAGGUGUUUCCAAUCCUAGGCCCAUGAGCCACAGGUAGCACAGAGCAGCUAAGAAUUUGACCCAACACAAAAUCAUGAACUUACUUAAAAUGAGAGGUUUGGGGGCACUUUUAAAAAUAGCUUAAUUUUGAGUGGUUCCCAAAUGUGAUCUUCGUAGAUAAUGUCAUGUGACUCUGUCCAAAGCUUGGCUACCUGCUAGGUUAACUAAGUUCUGUACUUAGAAGAUCACUUUCUGAGCCUGUCAGCUAGGGGAGAAGACAGAAGAACAAGAGGCUAAGGGAAGCUAUUCAAAGCUGUUGGAAGCUCUGUCUCCUGACAUUCAAUUGACCGGAAAAGUCACCAGGCCAGACCUGCAGCAAAUGAGUGGAAACGUGUACUCUAUACAAUCUAGUGAAGCUUUGACAAAGUCACGUGGUGACUGGAAGUCGUGGCAAUGGCUCAACUGACCACAAACCUUCAUGACAGAGACUCGUCCUCGAUAAAUGUGAGUUGGGGACAGAGAGAUGUCUCAGACGGUAAAGGUGCUCGUCGCUAAGCCUGAUGGUCUGGGCUCAAUUCUUGGAACUCACAUGCAGGUAGUAUAACACAGACAGACAGACAGACAGACAGACAGACAGAUAGACAGCCGAUAGAAUUGGCACCCAAAGCUCUCAGUGGAAUGCCUGGCAUUUAUUUGACAAAUGGCCAUUGGUAUUAUAAUAUUUUCAUUGUUUUUAUGUUUGAAAAAUCUCUCGUGUUCAUUUUCUCCUGCAAGUGGAAAUACACAUUUUCCCCUUUGCACAAGCAGAAUUAGCUGAGUGAGUUGUGUUACUAUUUGGUUAAAAGUCUCUGUGGACCACAUUCUUGCAUCUGUGAUUAAUUCUUUUAAAUUCUUGUAAAUUGCAUGUCUACUUCAUUGAGCUGGAACAGAGAUAUGAUUUCAAGUUUAUGUUUCUUGUUAGAAUAUUGAGGGCACAAUUAAAUGUCUUUCUCCCCCUUCCUUCCUAAAAAAGAAGAAAUCAAAGAUUCUUAAAAUGGAUUGCCAUGAAAGGACACAUAAAUAUGUUUCGGUCAAUACUUGAAUUCUCUAAAGCACCAUUGAGACAAAGUGUUAACUGUUCUGAUUAAAUUUGUGAUCGGUUAAGGUGGAAAUCCAUACACUUGCGUGUCACACACUCUUUAAUAAAUGGCACAUAGAGUCUCUUAAUUGUACCCAUCUAUCACUUCCUUCUGUUUCUAGAUGCGUAAAGUUAGAAGAAUCUGGGAAGUCGUGCGUUUUCAUCUUGGCGUGCUUUUUUGAUCUUUGUCCUCAGCCUCUUUUGUUGAACCAAGUCUGGUUUUGAGUUAAAUAUUUCUGACAAGGCUUUAAUGACUAGUUUACAUCCAGACUGUAGCGGGAAAUCUCCUUGCCAAAAAGGGUAUCGGAACCAAAUUUUAUGCAAGAUCUUAUUUUUUUCCAAAGGAAGGCUUAUUAUUAUCUAUUAUUUUGUAAAUCAGAAACGCCCCCUCCCCCAAUCUAAGUACUGUGGUCAGUGUCUAAGUAAUUUUAAAGUUUUUGACAUUGGACAUUUAUUGUCCAUUCUGAUGCUUAUAUGUAUAACGGUUGUUAUGACCCAAGAAAUCAGAAGUGAACUUCGCCAACAUGCCCAUUGUCUUUGCUUUUGGAAGUCUGGUGAAGCCAGUUUAAAAUAUAGUGCCUGUCCUUCUUGCUGCAAGUUGGAUGAGGCACACUUAAGGAAGGAGAGUAGAGAAUUGCUGGAAGGCUCCUUGUCAUCAAGUUGAGGCGUGAGUUAUAGACAUCCCAAUGGUGAGAGGAUGCAUGCUGACUUGCUUGAUGCUGCUGCUAAAGAUAAGCACCGGCAAGCUUGUCUAGCUGGGAAACAGACAUCUUCAGUGGAGACUGCAAGCUGGAAAUUCCCAGGCACCCAGGUGGACCUCACCUCCCCACUACCUCAUAUCCCCAGGAAUCCCUUUCCCAUGCUAUUAGAAUUACAAGAAGAAGCCUUCCCAGCUUGUAAACCAGUCAGUGGCAUCGGCUUCAUUGGAGGUUGUUAUUCUAGAUGUCUGGAGGUGGAAGAACACAUCCAUUGUGUGCGGAGAUCUGUCAUGUUUCUUCUUGGACUGCGUUGCUCCAAGAAGGCCAGUUAGGCUAUUGGAAGCAAACCCCUGGGAUCUGCCUGUCUCUAUCCCCGACUCCCUCCGGUGCUGGGGUAAGAGGUGCACACCAUCAACUCCUGACUUGACCAAACUGGAUUCCCAACUCAGGACUUACAGGUAUGGUUGUAUAAGGACGUCAGCUUGCUCCAAAGCAUCUAUAAGGAGAAGAGCAUCGACAAAGCAUCUAUUUCAGUGUGCCAGGAAUUCAUGCUUUUAUGCUUGAAGAACUACUGAAUCCGGCUGAGAACAGCAGAAGCCCAUGGUGUCCUGGACGGAAGUUGCUCUCCCCAGUUCAGCUGAGGUCCAUCUCCAAACACCAUGGUCGGAUUCAGUUUCUACCCUUCAAGGACCUCGCACAGGGGACUAAAUUUCAACACAGGAACUCUGCAUUCACUGCCACUAAGCCAUAGCAGCAACUGAAGUCUGAUAAUCCUGAGUCAGCAAAAUUAAAAUCAUAAGAUAACUCAUUUCUACUCAUCUUUCUGAAUCAGGAGUCACACUUUCAAGGGGUGUUCUGUGUCUAACGCACCUAAGGGUGGUUAAGAAAGAACAGAGGAAUGGAAACAAAAGAAACAGGAAAACAAGUACAACGGCCGAUGUCUGUCCAAUCAAAUCAAUAAGCCAUUAUAUGGGAAUGCUGUGAAUACCUGAAUGAGAGAGCAGACGUUGAGUUAGCUUUGUAAGAGAGCAAGAAUUUGGAAAUACCAACAGAUGUUUCCAUGGGAACGAGCCUCAGAGAUCAUGAUAAAUAAGAGCAUCCUCCAGAGUAAGAACUUGGGCUGAGUGAUUCCAGCAGCGGAGAAGCUGGAAGAGUGACGACACAAUCCAGCAGAAAUAGCCAGGCCUCUGACAAGUCGGUGGGAGCGAUUAGGACCAGCCAGGACCCUAGGAGAAGUUCUCUGCCGAGUGUGCCUCUCACGACAAAGAAGACCAGCAAAGACGUGAACCCAAUGAAGUGUUGCAAAGCUGUCUCUGCAAGCACCCAGUCACGGUCCAUUGAGUCUUAUGUAUACUCUCUCCAAACAUGUGUCCUCCCACGGGCCUUGCCUCAGCAAAACGCCAUGUAAAUCUGCAUCACAUGAUAUAUCCGGAAACUUUCGCUUCCCAGUCUGAAAUAACUAUUUUCACUCUCUAGCCAUAGCCCUCUGAAUGUACCCCAUCUUGUCUGAAAUGAAUACUUUAAUGUAUUAUUUAC